CCACCACCACCACCACCACCGCCACCACCACCAUUGCCACCACCGCCGCCGCGACUCGCCGCCGCCGGUAGCCGGGAGCGCUUGUUUACACGAACACCACAAAAGUACAAACUAUACUUAGGAUCCUAGAAUUCCUAGAGAUGGCAGACAUUUUAAGAAGAUCUUUUGGAAUGGUUCCGAUUAGCUGAAUAAUGUUUUAUCUUAUUUAUUUUAUAAGGAAUAAGAAAACUUAAAUGAACUUCAUUUAGUUAACUAUGUCGAUGGAUUCUUUUUAGUUUAUAGUCGCACCAAAAAUUGCCUCCACCGAGCUCACUUAGCAGCAUCAAAAAUAUCCAGUCUACUAACACUCACAAAUAUCUCGACUCGCAUUAUAUUCCAAUUAUUAGAUUAUAAUAAGUUGUGUCAGAAUAUUUUUGAGUUUAUUAUUUGAAUUGAUAUUUUUGCUUUGCAAGGAUGGAAUGGAACGCGCGAAGUGGUGAGGUGUAACGACAUUGGCUGCUUAUCUUUUACACCAUUCGCGUGAAAAAAUAUGGUAUUUUAGAAUGUAUCAGGCUAAUUUUAGUACACCAGCGCAAAAGCCGGAUGCUAUAACGGUGCAUUUAUGUGUUUGUUAAUUUUAAUCAUGAGUACAAUUUUAUUGUAAGUGGCGCACGCUCUCGAUUUUACGUAGCGAUUGUUCCGCAGAACUUUUGCGAACUCUCGCAAUGAAAUUGGCCAAUUUGAUUUGGAUUUUUUAAGUUUGAUUCCUCGGGACGCUUAUUUCCAAUAUAUUUCUAUAUUUAAAUUUUUUAAAGUUUUGUGAAACACAGAAAAGUACAUAUUGAUGCCCAUCGGGAUAAACAGAAUUAACUUUUGACAAUUUUAUUACAAGUCUUUUCUUGCAUGCUUAUUAAAAACGGUACAUUUUUUAACCGGCUUCAUUAUUAUUAAAGAACUAUUAACGCGACCCGAGGACUCAAGAUGCUUCAAACUUAAGCUUGCUUUGUUUUGAUAAGUGUGGAAACUGACCGAUUUCUUUGCCAAGAGGUAUUUUAGAUAUAAACAUUAUAGAUUUUUAUGACGCGACGCCCGCUUCGACUCUCGACUUGACCCUGUGAUUAGAAUACUACUGUAUUUAAGUUGGGGCUGGACAUAUUAUACUUAAAACCUAGUUUUAGUAGACAAAUAUAACAGACAUUACGUCUCGGCCACGACAUUGCGCGACUGGCUUCGGGUGAGGUGAAAACAAUAAGUGGGAACGAAAGUUCCGAUCGCUGCGUCUCGCCCAACCUAUGGUAGUCGCGCAAUGUCCUGGCCAGGACGUUAAGCUCAAGUAAGCGACAGUACUGAUGCGCCUAUGUAUACGGUAUGUAGGUAUAUAAAGGGGAACAAACUGAGGUCUAACCAAAUCACUUUUAUUUUAUAUUAGGUAUAUAUUAUAUUACUAUUUUAAUUAUUAGAUACAUAUACGGAUAUUGUAGAAUUAUUCAUCGAAUGUUGUAAAAUAAAUAUUGUACUUUUAAAUACAGAAUAAAUGUAGAGUUUGUAUG